GAUGAACGCUGGCGGCGUGCCUAAUACAUGCAAGUCGAGCGAACAGACGAGGAGCUUGCUCCUCUGACGUUAGCGGCGGACGGGUGAGUAACACGUGGAUAACCUACCUAUAAGACUGGGAUAACUUCGGGAAACCGGAGCUAAUACCGGAUAAUAUAUUGAACCGCAUGGUUCAAUAGUGAAAGACGGUUUUGCUGUCACUUAUAGAUGGAUCCGCGCCGCAUUAGCUAGUUGGUAAGGUAACGGCUUACCAAGGCAACGAUGCGUAGCCGACCUCAGAGGGUGAUCGGCCACACUGGAACUGAGACACGGUCCAGGCUCCUACGGGAGGCAGCAGUAGGGAAUCUUCCGCAAAGGUCGAAAGCCUGACGGAGCAGCGCCGCGUGAGUGAUGAAGGUCUUCGGAUCGUAAAACUCUGUUAUUAGGGAAGAACAAAUGUGUAAGUAACUAUGCACGUCUUGACGGUACCUAAUCAGAAAGCCACGGCUAACUACGUG
rnacentral:rRNA from 1 species